GACGAACGCUGGCGGCGCGCCUAACACAUGCAAGUCGAACGGAGCUGAGAGAAGCUUGCUUUUCUUAGCUUAGUGGCGAACGGGUGAGUAACGCGUGAGUAACCUGCCCUGGAGUGGGGGACAACAGUUGGAAACGACUGCUAAUACCGCAUAAGCCCACGAUCCGGCAUCGGAUUGAGGGAAAAGGAUUUAUUCGCUUCAGGAUGGACUCGCGUCCAAUUAGCUAGUUGGUGAGGUAACGGCCCACCAAGGCGACGAUUGGUAGCCAGACUGAGAGGUUGAACGGCCACAUUGGGACUGAGACACGGCCCAGACUCCUACGGGAGGCAGCAGUGGGGGAUAUUGCACAAUGGGGGAAACCCUGAUGCAGCGACGCCGCGUGGAGGAAGAAGGUUUUCGGAUUGUAAACUCCUGUCGUUAGGGACGAUAAUGACGGUACCUAACAAGAAAGCACCGGCUAACUACGUG
rnacentral:rRNA from 1 species